rnacentral:rRNA from 1 species
GCAGAGACUAACGCUCGUACCUUUUGCAUCAUGAUUCAGCCAGUAGACGCAAGCAAAGAGUCCUCUAGUUUGCACCCCCGAAACUUGACGAGCUACUCCGAGACAGUCAUUUAUGGACCAACCCGUCUCUGUGGCAAUAGAGUGGGAAGAUCUCCGAGUAGAGGCAAAACCCCUACCGAGCCAAGUUAUAGCUGGUUGCCCAAAAAAUGAAUAAAAGUUCAGCCCCGCCCAGCCCCCCUCAAGAUAGUUUUACUAAAAAAGAUAAUGAGCUUCCCGCGGGAGUUAAUCAGAGGAGGUACAGCUCCCCUGAUAAAGGACACAACCUUAAAGGGAGACUUAAGAACAUUUUGAAUUAAGGCUCCAGGUCUUGGUGGGCCUGAAAGCAGCCAUCCAAUUAGAAAGCGUUAAAGCUCAGACCCUGAACAAAGCCUAUUAUCCCAUUUUUUAUUCUUAUAUCCCCGACCUUAUUGGGCCCCCCUAUGCCCCCAUAGAGGGGAUUAUGCUGAAACUAGUAACAAGAAGACAGAACUUCUCCCUGCACAAGUGUAAGUCGAACCGGACACGCCAUCGACAAUUAACGAACCCAACAAAAGAGGGCCCUAUAUCUCCGCCGACUUAAGCCAAGAAAACCAUAUUUGUUUGUAUCGUUACCCCCACACAGGAGUGCUAUUUUAAGGAAAGACUAAAAGAAAGAAAAGGAACUCGGCAAACCUAAACCCCGCCUGUUUACCAAAAACAUCGCCUCUUGCAUAAAAAGUAUAAGAGG